CCAACUCCAUAUUAAAGCCUUCCCAGAAGAGUGGAGGCUGUUAUAGCAGCAAAGGGGGACCAACUCCAUAUUAAAGCCUUCCCAGAAGAGUGGAGGCUGUUAUAGGGGGGGACCAACUCCAUAUUAAUGACUUCCCAGAAGAGUGGAGGCUGUUAUAGGGGGGGACCAACUCCAUAUUAAUGACUUCCCAGAAGAGUGGAGGCUGUUAUAGCAGCAAAGGGGGGACCAACUCCAUAUUAAUGCCUUCCCAGAAGAGUGGAGGCUGUUAUAGCAGCAAAGGGGGGACCAACUCCAUCUUAGAGAGAGAGAGAGAGAGACAGACAGAGAGAGAGAGACAGAGAGACAGAGAGAGAGAGACAGAGACAGAGAGAGAGAGAGAGAGAGAG
ensembl:lncRNA